GUGCUGCAAACAGAUUAGAUCCACAGAUCGAACAGAGUAGAUUUUAAGCACUUGAAGAAAACAGGCACCAUCAUGAACAGGCUGUGCAAACUUCUUUUUGUGCUACACUGUCUCAGAUGCUCUGCAGCCCACAUGACAACAACUGUGGAACUUGGGGACAACGUCACACUUCACUGCAGCCUGACACACUCGGAUGAAACGGUUUGGGUUGGACAGCGGUGCAACCAAAUUCCCUUCCUAAUAAUUUCAGCCGAAGUGAAAUAUGGAAAAUUGCUGCACAGAUCCGUUACAAGCCAGAGCAAAAGCUUCCUUCCACAGCUGAAUGUAGAAAACAACUCAGUCAGUCUAAUAAUUCUGAACAUCUCGGAGUCUGGUUUGGGACUCUAUUACUGUGUUGCUUGGAGUGAGUCAAUAAAGCAAUUUGGACUCGGAAGCCUGCUUGUUACAGGUCUUUGUGGAUUCAGAUGUAAAGGAAGAGCGGAGAAGGAAUUGAGUAACGAUGAACUACAGGU
rnacentral:lncRNA from 1 species